GUAGUUUUUGCUUUCCUUUCUGCCUUGGACGCCGCAGCAAAAAGUCACGCACGCAGCGAGCAGAAGCUCCCAGAUAUUGAAGAUAUUUCUCUUCAUUAAACUAACUUAGUCGGAGGUAUACAGCCGUGUGCCGUGUUUAAUCCGACGCAGGAGGAGUCCGACGCUGAUUUGAGGCUGCAUAAAACGUUAAUCACGUCGGCAUACCCUUUCUCAUCUGCAGAGAGCCUGAACCUUGACGUCGCUCGGUAGUGGAGCGCACGAGAAAUCGGUUCAACAUAUGGCCAAGGUGCACCAGCUUCUUUCCCCUCAUCUCAACCUCAACCCUGUCAUCUUCAUCAGGAGUGGAAAGGAAGAUGAAAAAGAAGGACAAAAUGAAGCAAUGCAAGAAAAACUAAGAAAUAAAGAAUUAAAUGCUAUCAGUUUGCUUAUUUUGAAAUAAGAAGUAUGUUAAGUAAAGGCUCUAAGUUAAGGAUGUAAUAUUUUGUUUUUUUAUAUGAUAUACAAUGUACAAUUUACAUUUAGUAUUAUAGCCCGCAUACCCUGUAUUUACCCUGUAACUAAAUGUUACUACGGGGGAACUAGUAGCGAUUUAGAAUACAGCCCGCAUAUCCUGUACUUACCCUGUAACUAGUGCUUUUAUAGCUGUAUUUACCCUGUAACUAAAUGUAACGAGGAAAACUACCACUGCAUAGCCUACAUCACUUGUUCUGUAAAUACAGAGAACAAUGUGAGAUGUUUGUUUUGAUUUUACUUGCCUCAAAACAUGGAAGAACAAACUGUAAAUUAACUGCACAGUAAGCUGUCAGUAAAGUAUAUCAACCAUAUGCGUUCUGUUUUAUCUUGCUAUAUUUGUAUUUAUUUCCUGGGAUGAAAGGAGAGCGAGCACAGAGCUGGAAAAAGGUGAGCUUGCAUGUUGAGGAGCCGUAAUGCCGGACAAACACAAUUGCCAGGGAGAAGACCUUCAACAUUUUAAUGACUUCAAAAUUGUCAGCGUGUUAACACCAGAACACAAGUGAGUCACAUCUAGGGUGGGUGAAUUCUGUCUGCCGAUGGCAAGCAGAGUCAUGAAGUCAUAAACGAGUGUCAAGUAAUGUAAAGCUGGUGAGGUGAGCGACAGCUGAGACGGUCAUCAGACGCCAACAGUAUCCAUGACAACAUACUGUCACCUGGACCUUUGUUCCUAAGUAAACGCACAGAUGUAUCCUGUAGUUGUAUAGGCUACCCGCUGAAAAUAUAAAGGAACAAUGUAGAUUGCCUGUUUGUAAUUAGGUCAUUUUGAAAUAAAAUCACAUCUGAUUUAUUACUUGCUGCAGAAGUCUUGCCUCCAUCUUCCCUCCAUCUUCCCUCCGAUUUUUCAGUUUUAUUGUCAUGCUGUACCCUGUAAUAAUAGAGUAAGUAGGCUACCCUGUAAUUAAAAAUACCUACUGUAUAAGUUCUCUGUAAAUUCCCCCCAAACGUCCAUAUUAUUGAUCAAUAUAGGUCGCACAUACCCUGUUACAAUAGAAUAGGUACCCAGUAGUUAAAAAUACCUACUGUAUAAGUUCUCUGUAAAUUCCCCCCAAACGUCCAUAUUAUUGAUCAAUAUAGGUCGCACAUAUCCUGUUAUAAUAGAAUAGGUACCCAGUAGUUAAAAAUACCUACUGUAUAAGUUCUCUGUAAAUUCCCCCCAAACGUCCAUAUUAUUGAUCAGCAGGUCGCACACACCCUGUUAUAAUAGAGUAGGUACCCAGUAGUUAAAAAAAACCUAUAAUAUAAAUUCUCUUUAAAUUCACUAAUUGUUAGCCCCUUAUUCCAUAACUUAAUAUCUUGUUCCCCUGUACCUACAUAUAUGUAUUGGUACGUACUACACUGGUACACCGUUAGUACAACAGAUUACUCCGUAACUACCCGAUAGUUACGGUGUAAAUUGCGGGCUGUAAUCUAAAGCGUUACCUUACUACCUUCACAGUUUGAGACACUGGGAAAUACUGAUGACCAUUUCUCAGGGGACUUCAUUGACAAAAAUCUCAUACAGUUCAUAUGCUUGGAAAUAACUGAGAGAGAGCUGCAGGACGUUGCUCACCUGUGGAAUUGCCACAGAAUUCGCCCCAGUAGGAAUGCAGUUUCUCCAAGUGGAUGAUCACUACUGAUGUACCGCCUUCCCCACCUGUUUGGCGGUUUGGACCUGCCAAGAGGUCCACAUCCAUGUGAUGAGACUGUUUUUGACAUUUGUUGCCUUGCAAUGUCAGAAAACUAUCUGCACCCACCUAGUUCUUCCAAGGAGGCAAUUGAACUCUACCUUUUCUAACAAGCCUCCAGACUCCUGACCCCCCUACCAAGAAUCACUGGCCUAGUAGGCCUAGAACCACAGUAUACUA